GGGGUCAUUCCAAGAGCAGUGACUGCAAAAAUAAGCAUAUUGCUAUAGCUGUGCCAGUGCAGACUGGUGCAUCAAUGCCAUCCUGUUUGCUACAGAUCAGUGCCGUCAGCCCAGAAGCUGAGACACAGCACAGAUCCCCUUGUUGGCAACCUGGCUGAAGGGGGCUUGUGGUCUCCUGUCCACCGUGGAUCUUCCUUCAUCAUGAAAGCAGGGUGGAAGGAUUCCAAGGCUGAACGGCACAUCAUUCCCCAGCAACUCAUACCAGAUGUUAAAGAAAUGAAAAGAAAUGAAAGUCAGCAUUUCCUGGGACAAUGGUAUCAAGGCAAAGAGCCAGGCUCAGGCCAGAGUCAGUCUUGGUGCCUUUUAUUUCAUGCAAAGGGAAUCACAAACAUGAAGCUUUCCUUCAAAUCCCUGCAAUGAGAACUCCCAUGGUAUCUCCCAUCCAAAACGAGGAUGCCAUCUGCCUUUCAGUGCCCUGCAGCAAGCAGCAGUACCUGCUACACAGUGGGGACAGCCAAGUGACAGCUCCUCUGGUCCUUGGGACAUGCCAUUACAAGGGGUACUUGUUCCCCAGCAUGGCCCCAUCUUCUGGCACAUGUCACAGCUCAUUCAGAUGGUGGGUGGAUGCCCAACCUCUGCUUCAAGGAAACAGCAGAGCCCAUGGCCACGUCCCAGCAAAGCAAUAA
rnacentral:lncRNA from 1 species